GAUGAACGCUGGCGGCGUGCCUAGUACAUGCCAGUCGAGCGAACGGACGAGAAGCUUGCUUUUCUGAUGUUAGCGGCGGACGGGUGAGUAACACGUGGAUAACCUACCUAUAAGACUGGGAUAACUUCGGGAAACCGGAGCUAAUACCGGAUAAUAUUUUGAACCGCAUGGUUCAAAAGUGAAAGACGGUCUUGCUGUCACUUAUAGAUGGAUCCGCGCUGCAUUAGCUAGUUGGUAAGGUAACGGCUUACCAAGGCAACGAUGCAUAGCCGACCUGAGAGGGUGAUCGGCCACACUGGAACUGAGACACGGUCCAGACUCCUACGGGAGGCAGCAGUAGGGAAUCUUCCGCAAUGGGCGAAAGCCUGACGGAGCAACGCCGCGUGAGUGAUGAAGGUCUUCGGAUCGUAAAACUCUGUUAUUAGGGAAGAACAUAUGUGUAAGUAACUGUGCACAUCUUGACGGUACCUAAUCAGAAAGCCACGGCUAACUACGUG
rnacentral:rRNA from 1 species